AAUCACAUUUGUUGUUAGAUGCAGGCAAAUAUCACUCUCAUUCCAUGGUCAGAUUUGACCUUUUAAUCAUCAUUAUCAUUUUUCUAAGAAAAAAAAGCACUUCAAUGUAAUAACUUUGUAAAGUAAUAAUACCACUUAAUCAUGCUUUUCUUUAGACCUUAUUUAUAUUUAAAUUAUUACACCAUUAAAAAAAAAAAAACAUUUUAUAUUACUUUCACUAUAAUACAGCAGCAGUAAUAUACUUUUUAUAUUACUUUCAACUGGAUCAGUACCCUAUUAAUUAACCAUGAAGUCUGACAGUCAGACCAGUCUCUCUCUCUCUCUCUUUCUCUCUGUGUCUGUGUGUGUGUGUGUGUGUAAAGCAUUAACAGGAGAGAGCGCAGGUGCUGUGUGCUGAGUAAUGACCUCUUACUGUCUCUAUUGUUCCUUUAUAUCAGCCAUUAAGUCUCAUGCUCCUCAUACUCUCCACCUGUAGUCUGGUGCACACGAACUCAUGAGAGCAUGCAUCAACUCUUUUUGUUCUUUGUGUCUCAACCUCUUUCGUCUCAAUCAGCAAGAAUGCUACCAAAUGGAAUGCCAGCCCAAAGAAACUGUUUGAUUGCUAUGAACGACUGCAUAACAACAGAUCGUUGUUUGGAUGUCCACAGGUUGUGUCGUCGUGAUUCGUUCCAGUUCUGUUCCUGAGUCUAGUUCCUGUUCGGUGUCCUGUGAUGUUCGUCUCGUCUUGUCUGGAAAUCCACCGUCACCUGUCUUCACCAGCAUGCUGACCGCCUAGUCCCUGCACCACCAGCCCACCCGAGCUCCAUUACUACGUUGUGUUUGUUUCUCUAAAUAAAGAACCCUUGCAUCAUUGCUUCCGCCUCUCG
ensembl:lncRNA